rnacentral:lncRNA from 1 species
GCUUGAGAAUGAGCUCAGGAGAGUUCUAACACUUCAUACAUUGCGUGAAUCAGAGGCAAAAAAAUUCUGUAAAUACUGUUCAGUUCACAGACCAAUUGUUUGGUGUCUUUUUGUUCUGUAUAUAAAAACAAUACAAUUCUAUGCAACGUCCCCAUUUGGAAAGCUAAGAAAACAUUUGUGUGUUGGUGUGUGGUGUAUGUUUAUAAACUGUGUAAAUGAUUUAUGUAUUUCAUUGUCUAUCAAUAGGCUGUUUUGCACAUUUGAUUAAUAAAAUUCGACUUGUGUAAUACCAAGUGCUGUAGUCUGUAGUCAGUCUACUGGUUUCUUUAUUAGUUCAGUGUAUCUUUAUUGCUUCAGGGUUUUUUUUUUCCACAGUUGUGGGUUAGUUGGCUUCAACUCUGGCCUGCUUCAUAUGUCAAGUUUAUGUAAAGUCACACAUCGUGGAAGACAUCAGCGCAUGGGCCUCUGAUAUCUUAGUCUUCACAACUGUUCAACUUCAUCACUAUUAAGUGUGUUUGCUGCUUUCCUGUUUUUUUAUUCUGUCAUUUCUGCUCAGAUUAGUCUGAACUCUUUUACUGCAUUUCACAGAAUGAAGACGGAGCAACUUGUAGUCUUCUGUAAGUUACUCAGUUUUUAUGAUUUUAUUGACUUUGUCACGAUUGGAUAGUUUAACAAGGUGAAUCUGUUUACAAUCUUCUACAGAAUAAUCUGAAUGAUCUGUGUGUUUGUGUAGGUCUGCUGGUGUGUCAAACUACAGAGAGUUUAACUGAUAAACCGGUGAAUUUAGGGGAAAACGUGUUUUUAGACUUUCAGAUUGGUGUAGGAGACAUUUAUUGGGUUUUCCAGAAACUGACAGACUCUCCGCUGCUGAUACUGCGAACUUUCAUGUUCUACAGCAUCUUUUUUUUUUAUGAUGAUAGAUUAAAAGACCAAAUAUUCAUUACUAACUUGGAGUCAUUUAUUUAUUAAUAUAUUAUUGUCUAAAAACAGGCUCACUUUUACAGCACAGCGAUGGCACCAGACUUUACAUCAUUGGUGAGUGUGUAUAAAAUCAUCUUGACGAAUCAGUUUGAUCUGUUGUUAUAUCUAUGAAUUACCUAAAGCAGUUAUAAUGCACUAUAUUUGUAUUUAUCCAUAUAUAUAUAUAUAUACACACACACACAGAUGUGUUGUUAUUUUUACCAUUCUGUAGUUUGCUUCCGUGGAGUUUUGUCUGUCCUGCCCGACUUUGAUUCUUUUUAAAAAAUCCCCCCCCCCCCCAAAAAAAAAAAAAACUACAAAAACACAAUGAAGUGUAAAUUGUCGAAUAAAAAUAUAUUUAGCUUAAUUUUGCUUGUUUGUUGCAACUUGAUGGGUUUGUAGAACUGUAUGUAAAAUUCAAGCUUUCUCCAGCUUAGCUUUUCUUUGUUUUUUUUGUCUUGAAAAGUAAAUUAUUAAGAAUUAAAUGUUUAGGCUAAAUGUAGUUUUUAGUAGUGUGAAUAUUAAUUAUUAUCGAUAAAUGAGUAUACAUUAAAAGAUUAGUUCACCCCAAAAUAACUAAUUGUCAUCAUUCAUUCACCCUUGUGUUGAUACAACCCCAUUUCACUUUCUUCCAUUAAACACAAUUAAAAGGAAAGUUAAGCACAAUGUGUCAGGGUUACUGAGGGAGAGGACCCAGAAGCAAAAUGAACAAGGAACGUUUAUUGACAGAUAAGACAAGGCACGGUAGGAGGGAGUGGCUUAAACAGUCCAGACAGUAGGAUAGGGCAUACAAGAGUGGAGCAGGCUGACGCGGGUGGGGGGACCAGACCACAGCACCAGGAACCAAGGGCACUUGGCUAUGGAGGUAAAGCCACAAACGUCAGACCUCUAGGCGGGGAGACCCAGUGGCCAGG